rnacentral:tmRNA from 1 species
GGGGAUGUUUUUGGCAUUCGAUAGGUAAUCGUUUGGGAUAGACUACAGCCGUGAAGGAACACGUAAAAACCAUUAAAAUUUAAACGCUAAAACUAAAUUUGCUAACUUGUUUGGUGCUAACCGCCCAGCAAUGGCAUUUGCUGCCUAAUUAGACUACGUUUGUCUUGCAGCCCGAAUUUGUGAGUUCGCUUUCUUAUAACAAAUUUGAGAAUGGCAAAGAAGAUCGGAACAAGAGUGGAUCGGUUCCCUGUUCUUAAACACGUUGAUCAAACCCAUAAAGUAUAUUGUCCAUCAUAGCUUUAUGGUUUCUUAGAUGGAAUAAGCUGUAAACGUUUAUUCGUGGGACGUUAUCUAGACAGGAGUUCGAGUCUCCUCAUCUCCACCA